rnacentral:misc_RNA from 1 species
GAAAUUAUAGGCGAGGGUUGUAGCUGGCCUCUCGGGGCAUGUGCACGCCCGAGCCCUUAAUCCACACACACCUGUGAACCUAUUGUAAGGGCCCGUGAAAAGGCCUUUACGUCUUUAUAAACCCAUCGUAUGUCUCAUAGAAUGUAAUUAUAUGUCCUCGCCUUAAAAAAGCGUUGAUAAACUUAUACAACUUUCAACAACGGAUCUCUUGGCUCU